GUGGGGAAUUUUGGACAAUGGGCGAAAGCCUGAUCCAGCCAUGCCGCGUGCAGGAUGAAGGCCUUCGGGUUGUAAACUGCUUUUGUACGGAACGAAAAGACUCCUUCUAAUAAAGGGGGUCCAUGACGGUACCGUAAGAAUAAGCACCGGCUAACUACGUGCCAGCAGCCGCGGUAAUACGUAGGGUGCAAGCGUUAAUCGGAAUUACUGGGCGUAAAGCGUGCGCAGGCGGUUAUAUAAGACAGAUGUGAAAUCCCCGGGCUCAACCUGGGAACUGCAUUUGUGACUGUAUAGCUAGAGUACGGCAGAGGGGGAUGGAAUUCCGCGUGUAGCAGUGAAAUGCGUAGAUAUGCGGAGGAACACCGAUGGCGAAGGCAAUCCCCUGGGCCUGUACUGACGCUCAUGCACGAAAGCGUGGGGAGCAAACAGGAUUAGAUACCCGUGUAGUCC
rnacentral:rRNA from 1 species